CCCAGCCGCCAGGGCUCCGAGGGAGCAAUCAGACAAUAAGGCGAAUGUCAUGCCCUUUCCCACCCUGGAGCCCAGCUCUGGGGCCUCAUCAAGUCGAGCAGUGCGGCAGCUGGGACUGGGCUGGAUUCGGAGGUUUGGGGCUCCUUGGUCGUUAGCACGUAGACAGUGGCUGAAUCAUGGAAUACAUGACGACAUCCUGCAGAGUGAGGCCCAGAAGGGAAGAGGGGGGGAGAAGAGGCCCAGAACAGCACCUGGAGGGGGGUGGAGAGUCAGAAGAAAGUUCUUCCCUCUCUCCCAGAACCCCCUCACUGUCUUCAAUGACCAGGCCGAGAUGGGAAGAUCCUUAAAGGUUGGACUCGAUCGGGACGCCUGGGUGGCUCAGUCGGUUAAGCAUCCAACUUCAGCUCAGGUCACAAUCUCAUGGUCUGUGAGUUUGAGCCCCGCAUCGGGCUCUAUGCUGACAGCUCAGAGCCUAGAGCCUGCUUCAGAUUCUGUCUCCCUCUCUCUCCUCCCUCCCUUGUUCAUGCUCCAUCUCCCUCUCUCUCAAAAAAAAUAAAUAAACAUUAAAAAAAAAAAAAAGUAAGACUAUCCUUCCAGCCCCAACUCCUCUUCCACCGGGUAGAGCUCACUGAUAAAGAAUACAGGUAGGUUUUGGAUUAGGUCUAUCUGGGUGCAAAUUUUGAUCUUACCACUUAGGCAAGUCAUUAAACCUCUCCAAGCUUAGUUUUUUCAUCUGUAAAAUGGAUAUUCAUUCAUUAAUUCACUCAUUCAACCAAUAUUCGCCGAGGGCCUGCUACAUCUCAGGCAAUCACGCAGAUACAGCAUCUAACACAAAAGACACAAAUCCCUGCCCUGUGGGCCUUGCUUUUUAGUGGGGAACCUUAGUGCCUGUCUCAAAGAGUGAUUGGGAGGACUCGAUGAGCUAAUUAGGAUCAAGCUUCGCACAGGGCCUGAUAUGAUAGGCCUGACAGGUUAGAGCUGUUGUGAACAUCCAUUCAGGGCCACUUAUCAAGAGCUUACUGUGUGCCAGCUCCAUGCUAGGUGCUGAGGAGACAAAGAUGUGGAACAGCCAUCCACACCCUCGGGGAACUCAGUUUAAUGCCCCUAAUGUGUGUUGAAUGGGCACUACCCUCGUCAUUGUUCAGAAGCUUAUAACAAGCACCAGUCUGUAGUGCGUGCUACCAAGAGCCAUAAAAUUCUAGUCAGGUGUGACACGACAGGUGUUUAUCCCUGGUACCCUACGGACUAAGUCACACAUGAUUGAUGUGCUUUCAGGAGGUUCAGAACAAGGAGCAGUUAUAUUUGGUUGGGGGACAGAAAAGAUCUGGAGGAGGUGGCUUUUGAACAGCAUCUGAAAGAAAAGAGUAGGAUUCCACAGACAGAGAGUGGUGGCAGAGAUAGGAAGGGAGGCCCCUCACGGGACCAGAAGGGCACAAAAAUAAGUGCUUGGAGGAAGGAAAACAGGAGGUGCCAAUUGCGUGCCUAAUCCCAAGAUGACCUAGCCCAGGGUGAGGGUGGAGGUUGGUCUAGGCAAGGCAGCUGAAUUCACAAGCACAGGAGACAACUCUCCAAGAGGUGGGUUGGAGAGACCCCUUUCCUAGCCCUCAACCCUCGAGCAAGACUACACCAGGCUCAGAAUGCCACCAUUAGAAGUUCAUUUCCUUGAGCAAGCGUCAGCUUCCAGGAGGUCCCUCACAGAAACAAACCACGAAAGUGAAACUCCCUGAGUGGUGCGACACGUUGUAGACACUUCGCACGCACCACGUCCCUUCCCUUUCUCCUAAGCGGAAAGCUCCGUUUCAUGAGCCAGGAACCUUGUAAAUAUUUCAGUGGCGUCUGUGUGGUUGAGGCUGUGAAGGCUGUUCUCUGCAGCACUCGUGACAGUAAGGUCUGGGAGAUGUCUCAGGCCCGUUACAAGUGUUUGAUCAGCCUCAUGUUA